rnacentral:rRNA from 1 species
UUGGGAGGUAAAAUUAAAAUGCCUUGGUAGUACGAGCUUUUGCUUAAAAUCAAAUGAGCCUGGCGGCAUUCAGAUUAAUCAGGGGAACCUGCUUUCUUAAUACGAUGAUCCACGAAAAUCUUACCUGUUGUUAUAUUUGCCUACCGUCGUAUAGCUGAUAUUGUUGUAGAAAUUGGCGAAAGGGUUUCUGUUUGUGGUGAAUGGUUAGCCAGUAUUGCAGAUAAAGGUGCAGUUAUUGACAGGGGAAUUGUUGGUUAUAAUUUUUUAUUUAUAGUGAAUUGGCUUUUGAAAAAGAGUUAUGAAAGAAGACUUGAAAGUAACUGGCUUAUAGUAAGAGCGAGUGAAUAGAUAACUGGGUGUGU